rnacentral:rRNA from 1 species
CUGCAGCCCGAGUGGUGAUCGAUUUUAUUGAGCCUAAAGCGUCCGUAGCCGGACUAGUAAACCCUUGGGUAAAUUGGGCAGCUUAACUGUCCGAAUUCCGAGGGGACUGCUAGUCUUGGGACCGGGAGAGGUCAGAGGUACUCCAGGGGUAGGGGCUAAAUCCGAUAUGCUUUCGUGGCAUUCGGUUAGCAUUCCUGUAAUCCUUGGGGGACCACCAGUGGCGAAGGCGUCUGACUAGAACGGAUCCGACGGUAAGGGACGAAACCCUGGGGCGCGAACCGGAUUAGAUACCCGUGUAGUCC